UACGAAGGGGGCUAGCGUUGUUCGGAAUUACUGGGCGUAAAGCGCACGUAGGCGGCUUGGUAUGUCGGGUGUGAAAUCCCCGGGCUCAACCUGGGAACUGCAUCCGAAACUGCCUUGCUCGAGUAUGGGAGAGGGAAGUGGAAUUUCGGUGUAGCGGUGAAAUGCGUAGAUAUCGGAAGGAACAUCAGUGGCGAAGGCGACUUCCUGGACCAAUACUGACGCUCAGGUGCGAAAGCGAUGGGGGAGCCAAACUGGG
rnacentral:rRNA from 1 species